rnacentral:rRNA from 1 species
UACGAAGGGUGCAAGCGUUAAUCGGAAUUACUGGGCGUAAAGCGUGCGCAGGCGGUAAUGUAAGACAGAUGUGAAAUCCCCGGGCUCAACCUGGGAACUGCAUUUGUGACUGCAUUGCUGGAGUGCGGCAGAGGGGGAUGGAAUUCCGCGUGUAGCAGUGAAAUGCGUAGAUAUGCGGAGGAACACCGAUGGCGAAGGCAAUCCCCUGGGCCUGCACUGACGCUCAUGCACGAAAGCGUGGGGAGCAAACAGG